AAGAGAUAUAGUCAGACUAUAAGUACACUGCUUAAAUCUAACAGACAGAUACAGAUUGUGUUGUGUGUUAAGUUUAGGGACAUUGCUUACAUCUGACAGAGAUUCCAGUACAUUUUCAUAAUAGGGAUGAGUACAUUGCUUACAAUUGACAGAGAUCCAGAUUGUAUACCAAUGUAUAAUACACAGCUGACAACAAACAGAAAGAUUCAGAUUUUUUGUGUGUGACAAGUAUGGAGAUAGAACACUGCUUCCAUCUAAUUAAGAGAUAAGACCUUCGUUUUGUGACGAACUGUAGAGAGAAGUGAAUUGCUAUUUACAUGGGUUCUAUCUGACACAGGGGCCCAGACUGGCUUGUGUGAUUUAGUAUGGGAUGAGUAAAUUAUCAAACACUAGCAGAGGGAAACAGACUCGGAAGUGGGACUAAGUUUGGGGACAGAUACAUUGCUUAUAUUUAGCUGUUCAAUUAACAGGCUAGCUUUGGAUUGUUUUACUAUUAAAAAUAAGUGC
rnacentral:sRNA from 1 species